rnacentral:lncRNA from 1 species
GUGAUGUGCUUCCAAUGCCAAUAAAAAGUAACCCAUCCAAUAGUAUUUAUCAUCCAAAAACUGCCAAAUAAAACGCGUCCCAUGCCGAAAUAUCACAAGUACCGCCUCGUCCUGGGCCAUCGCACGGAAAACUAUAACCGAAAUCAUUUUUAUCUGGCAUUAACUUGGAACCACGUGCAUCUAAAGCACCUUUUACUAAGAUCAAUGUAGUUGUAUGUAAACCAAGUUUAUCUGGCAUUAACUUGGAACCACGUGCAUCUAAAGCGCCUUUUAUUAAGAUCAAUAUUGUUGUAUGUAAACCAAGAGCAAUAGCAUGAUGAACCAAAAAG